AACGAACGCUGGCGGCAGGCUUAACACAUGCAAGUCGAGCGCCCCGCAAGGGGAGCGGCAGACGGGUGAGUAACGCGUGGGAACGUACCCUUUGCUACGGAAUAGCUCCGGGAAACUGGAAUUAAUACCGUAUGUGCCCUACGGGGGAAAGAUUUAUCGGCAAAGGAUCGGCCCGCGUUGGAUUAGCUAGUUGGUGGGGUAAUGGCAUACCAAGGCGACGAUCCAUAGCUGGUCUGAGAGGAUGAUCAGCCACAUUGGGACUGAGACACGGCCCAGACUCCUACGGGAGGCAGCAGUGGGGAAUAUUGGACAAUGGGCGCAAGCCUGAUCCAGCAAUGCCGCGUGAGUGAUGAAGGCCUUAGGGUUGUAAAGCUCUUUCGCACGCGACGAUGAUGACGGUAGCGUGAGAAGAAGCCCCGGCUAACUUCGUGCCAGCCGCCGCGGUAAGAC
rnacentral:rRNA from 1 species